UGGAAGAGAUGUCAGACUCUGGUAAAAAUCGGUCCAUUUUCGUGUAAUAGUGGCUUUAUAAUUCAAACCGUCUCACACUCGCGCCUCUUCUCCUCGUCUCUCUCUCUCUACUCAACUCAUCUCAACUCAUUUCAACUCGUACAGUAACCCUAACCUCCCCCCAAAACCACCUUCUCUCCGUUCCCGGCGACUCUCCUCAGGUAUAGUAAUCAACGGCGUGAGUUUGAAAGAGGGAGUCAUGCCUUCGUUUGAGGACGAGGCAGAGCCUCAGCCGGUUUUGAACUACUAUUUCGAAGACGAAAACAAUGAGCCUGUCUCGGUUCAUGUCUUGGCAAUUGAAUGGAGUAAGGGUGUGAGGCAGGAAGGGGAGAAACAUGAGAUAUAUCUGCGCGGCACUGCCGAUAAAGGCCUUGAGAAGGUACAUGCAGCUAUUACUGCGUGGAGAUUUGACAUUCUUAGUGUGAAGCCGGUGAUAUCGGUGCUCUCUACCAAGAACAAGUGGGUUGUGCUUCAGAGGCCGCGGAAGUGCUUCGAGAAGAUUAUAAGGCCGGUGUUAGUGACACUUCACUGCCUUAGUUUUGUGAUCAGGAAUCCGGAAACGUUUGGCGGAUCAAUGUGGAGUACAUAGCUGAUGUUUUCAGUUUGUAUGAGGUCAGGCCGUCGCAGAAUGAUCUUGUGGAGCAUAUGCCCUUGAUAAGGGAAGCUGUUAAAUGGGAGACUGCUUUGGGAAAGUCCAAGGUUUGUCUAUUUUCAUCAUUAUAAUAGUUGCAUUAGCUGCCACACUGAUUCACCAUCAGUUUCCAGACGAUUUGCUAGAUUGUUUGUUCUUCUCUUGCUUAUUGUGCAAGUUUCUGGUGGCUCUUGUUUAUUUGAAUGUUUGUGUAUCCUAUUCCUAAUUGGUUGAAGCUCCAAAUCACGAACUUAACAUUAAACACCAUGCCUCAGUGAGACACAUAACAUGGAUUUCUUAAAACCACCUUCGGAAGGAUAAUGAGUA